ACAUCACAGACAUCACAUGGACAUAGCACUGGUCAUAAAUACUAAAGGUUGUACAAUAUUUUCUUUAGACUGCUACUAGAAGACUAAAUGUUCUGUCUUCAAAAAUUAUACAAAGUCAAAGGGGUGAUUAUUUUUUAUUCUUAUUUUAUUGAAAACCACAACUGGUUUACAGCAAAUAGCAAUGAGGCGUCAAGCUCUUCAAAUUCUACAAUCUAAGCAAGUUACAUGUUCUAUGACUUUUCGUAAACGUAAAAUAUGUUAAUGAGUUAUGAUCGAAAUUUCUAGUAUACACUAGUUGACCAUUAUAAAAAUCAGCGUGAUCUUUGUAAAAAAUAAACUUUCCGAGGAUUGUAGUUUUUCCCUUCUCUACACUUGGCCAAGUGAACUUGCAUAGCAGAGACAGUGUCUAUAGUAUUAAAAGUUUAGUCAGUGUCAAAAAUAACUUCCCUUUGUUUUCGAUCAUUAAACAGCCUAGUAUUAUACACAGUGAGUAGUUAAACCAAACUGCAUUAUAUUUACUCAUACGAGAACGAACUCCCAGUUUGAACAUCGAAAACAAAGAGAAGUAUGUAAAUAGUUGUAUAAUUAGACAAGUCUAUAAAGUUAUUCUUCAUAGUACUAGUCCAUUUCUUCCUUUUUUCUUCUUCUUCCAUUCCUCUUCUUCUCUCGAUUCCAGCUGCUUUUGAAUUUUUGUUUUAGUUAAUUUGAGUGGACUAAGGCACUAAGCUAGACUUUCAAUCUGAUAAAACUGACAGUGUAAGGAAUCAUUGCAAUCGAAAAUUGAUAAACAAAACAUAUACGAAGUUACAUUCAACAAAUUCGGUUGUUUCGACACGUGUUAUAUAAAAAAAUGUUAAAAUUUUGACAAGGGAAUCCAAAAGCAAGCUGGAAUCAAUUGUAAACAGUUGUUAUUGUCACGUUAAGUUUUACGUUCGUGUAAAGUUUCUUUGAGUAUUACCAUCACCAUUUUCACCAUCAUCAUUUCCACCAUCAUCAACAAUGUUCGUUGUUCGUUUUCGUCUCUGACCAAUGCAAGUUUAUCCACAUGACUUUUGUUCCACUCGGUACAGGAAAUUUCCGAUUUAUUAUACCAAUAAACGUUUCGUUGCUCAUUUUUUACCUGGAACUGUUUGUUGUUCGUCUGUCAUUAUGUCCGAUAUCUGUUCAUAUAUUUUGAUGUUGUUAGAAUGUUAUAUUGACCUGCGAUAAAAACCAUACAGAAAUCUGUCGAUUCAACAUCGUAUGGCAAAUGAUCUGUUCGUUGCCGUCUAUGUAUUUUAUUGUAACUUGCUCACGCACUUUCCAAACGAUUACAAAUAUCUUGUUCACUUGUUUCCCUCUGCUGCAGUUGCGAUAAUUCAUUUGGUUUUCUGGCUACAUGUUGCUCACAACUGUUGCUCUCUGUGUUGUGAUUAUUUUCUGAUCACAUACAUUUUCCUUCUUCGAUCUUCUACUUUCGUGUUCUUCUUUUAGUGUUUUCAGCAGGACUCUUCCUGCAAUGGUUGGUUGCUUGUCUUUCCACAGGUUGUUUUGAUUAGUUCUUCGUUUAAUUGUCAGGUUUUUUCUGCCUUUUGGCUAAGGGCAAUACGAUAGGCGAUUGUCUCUCUUAUCAAUUCAGUUUGUAGUUGUUACUGUCUUUUUACGUUACUGUCUUGUUGUUUCUUGUUACGUACUGUAACAUAUGUUACGUACUGUAACAUAUUGAAGGAUACACUGUUCAUCGUGGUUUGCGCCAACUUGGGUGUUGUUUGUAUUCUGUACUUAAGUUCUCGUCGUUGUGGAUGGAACUGGUCACUUGCAAAUAUCUGCUUUCAAAAACAAUUGGCAGUCCAAUUCCUUAUUUAAUUUUUUGGAUUCAGCAUACGGGGAACACCGUUUCAGCUCAUUUUUGUCGUUUAAUAGUUUUUAAUGUCAUGUCCGUUGUUAGUUUAACAGACUUUACCAGUCUGUCAUUUGACUCGGCUCCGAGGGUUCGUCAAGCCCUAACCAUUAAAUGGUCACCCUGCGGUACAUUCAAAU